rnacentral:piRNA from 1 species
ACUGCAUUUUGGAGUCUGAGGCAGGAGUA